rnacentral:rRNA from 1 species
UACGGGGGGGGUAAGCGUUGUUCGGAAUUACUGGGCGUAAAGGGCUCGUAGGCGGCCAACUAAGUCAUACGUGAAAUCCCUCAGCUUAACUGGGGAACUGCGUGUGAUACUGGAUGGCUUGGAUUUGGGAGAGGGAUGCGGAAUUCCAGGUGUAGCGGUGAAAUGCGCAGAUAUCAGGAGGAACACCGGUGGCGAAGGCGGAUCUCUGGGCCAUUACUGACGCUGAGGAGCGAAAGCGUGGGGAGCGAACAGG